rnacentral:rRNA from 1 species
UUCCGGUUGAUCCUGCCGGACCUGACUGCUAUCGGAUUGAUACUAAGCCAUGCGAGUCUUUGUAGUAAUACAAGGCAGACGGCUCAGUAACACGUAGUCAACCUACCCUAUGGACAAGAAUAAUCUCGGGAAACUGGGCAUAAUUCUUGAUAGAUCAUAAUGCCUGGAAUGGUUUAUGGUUAAAAUGAUUCGUCGCCAUAGGAUGGGACUGCGGCCUAUCAGCUUGUUGGUGAGGUAAUGGCCCACCAAGGCGAUUACAGGUACGGGCUCUGAGAGGAGAAGCCCGGAGAUGGGUACUGAGACACGGACCCAGGCCCUAUGGGGCGCAGCAGGCGAGAAAACUUUGCAAUGUGCGAAAGCACGACAAGGUUAAUCCGAGUGAUUUCUGCUAAAGAAAUCUUUUGCCAGUCAUAAAACCACUGGUGAAUAAGGGGUGGGCAAGUUCUGGUGUCAGCCGCCGCGGUAAAACCAGCACCUCAAGUGGUCAGGAGGAUUAUUGGGCCUAAAGCAUCCGUAGCCGGCUCUGUAAGUUUUCGGUUAAAUCCAUGUGCUCAACGCAUGGGCUGCCGAAAAUACUGCAUAGCUAGGGAGUGGGAGAGGUAGACGGUACUCAGUAGGAAGGGGUAAAAUCCUUUGAUCUAUUGAUGACCACCUGUGGCGAAGGCGGUCUACCAGAACACGUUCGACGGUGAGGGAUGAAAGCUGGGGGAGCAAACCGGAUUAGAUACCCGGGUAGUCCCAGCUGUAAACGAUGCAGACUCGAUGAUGCAUUGGCAUAUAGCCAGUGCAGUGUCGCAGGGAAGCCGUUAAGUCUGCCGCCUGGGAAGUACGUACGCAAGUAUGAAACUUAAAGGAAUUGGCGGGGGAGCACCACAAGGGGUGAAGCCUGCGGUUCAAUUGGAGUCAACGCCGGG